rnacentral:rRNA from 1 species
GGGAGGCAGCAGUGGGGAAUCUUGCACAAUGGGGUCACCCCUGAUGCAGCCAUGCCGCGUGGAGGAAGACACCCCUNUGGGGSGUAAACUCCUUUUCUGAACGAARAAAACUCUGUAGCUUCAGAGCGAGACGGURGUUCAGGAAUAAGCACCGGCUAACUCCGUGCCAGCAGCCGCGGUAAUACGGAGGGUGCAAGCGUUGUCCGGAAUCACUGGGUGUAAAGGGUGUGCAGGCGGGGCAGCAAGUCGGAUGUGAAAGCCCGUGGCUCAACCACGGAAGCGCCUUCGAUACUGCUGCUCUUGAGUCCCGGAGAGGCUGUCGGAAUUCGUGGUGUAGCGGUGAAAUGCGUAGAUAUCACGAGGAACACCAGAGGCGAAAGCGGACAGCUGGACGGGUACUGACGCUCAGGCACGAAAGCGUGGGGAGCAAACAGGAUUAGAUACCCCCGUAGUCC